rnacentral:rRNA from 1 species
GACGAACGCUGGCGGCGUGCUUAACACAUGCAAGUCGAACGGAAAGGCCCUGCUUGCAGGGUGCUCGAGUGGCGAACGGGUGAGUAACACGUGGGUGAUCUGCCCCUUACUUUGGGAUAAGCCUGGGAAACUGGGUCUAAUACUGGAUAGGACCAUGCUGUAGGUGGUGUGGUGGAAAGAUUAGUUUCGGUAAGGGAUGAGCUCGCGGCCUAUCAGCUUGUUGGUGGGGUAAUGGCCUACCAAGGCGUCGACGGGUAGCUGGCCUGAGAGGGUGGACGGCCACAUUGGGACUGAGAUACGGCCCAGACUCCUACGGGAGGCAGCAGUGGGGAAUAUUGCACAAUGGGCACAAGCCUGAUGCAGCGACGCCGCGUGGGGGAUGACGGCCUUCGGGUUGUAAACUCCUUUCAGCCAUGACGAAGCCCUUGUGGUGACGGUAGUGGUAGAAGAAGCACCGGCUAACUACGUG